AGGGUUGUAGUUAAAUUAACAUUUAAUUUGCAAUUAAAAAAUACUAUUUUAUUAGUCUACCUUA
rnacentral:tRNA from 1 species